rnacentral:rRNA from 1 species
GCGUGGGGAGCAAACAGGAUUAGAUCCCCUGGUAGUCCACGCCGUAAACGAUGAAUACUAGGUGUAGGGGUUGUCAUGACCUCUGUGCCGCCGCUAACGCAUUAAGUAUUCCGCCUGGGGAGUACGGUCGCAAGAUUAAAACUCAAAGGAAUUGACGGGGACCCGCACAAGCAGCGGAGCAUGUGGUUUAAUUAGAAGCAACGCGAAGAACCUUACCUAGACUUGACCUCUCCUGAAUUACCCUUAAUCGGGGAAGCCCUUCGGGGCAGGAAGACAGGUGGUGCAUGGUUGUCGUCAGCUCGUGUCGUGAGAUGUUGGGUUAAGUCCCGCAACGAGCGCAACCCUUAUUGUUAGUUGCUACCAUUUAGUUGAGCACUCUAGCGAGACUGCCCGGGUUAACCGGGAGGAAGGUGGGGAUGACGUCAAAUCAUCAUGCCCCUUAUGUCUAGGGCUACACACGUGCUACAAUGGCUGGUACAGAGAGAUGCUAAACCGUGAGGUGGAGCCAAACUUUAAAACCAGUCUCAGUUCGGAUUGUAGGCUGAAACUCGCCUACAUGAAGCUGGAGUUGCUAGUAAUCGCGAAUCAGAAUGUCGCGGUGAAUACGUUCCCGGGCCUUGUACACACCGCCCGUCACACCAUGAGAGUUGGCAAUACCCAAAGUUCGUGAGCUAACGCGCAAGCGAGGCAGCGACCUAAGGUAGGGUCAGCG